rnacentral:lncRNA from 1 species
UUCUAAUUCGCCUAAAAUAGAUAUUAAGGAAACAUUAAAAUUAAUCUAGUCUUUGUGGGUUCGACCUGUACUUGCCAGUUCUUCAAUUCGACAUUGUGCACUUGCAGUACAUAAUUUUAACACAUCAGUUACACAAUAAAUUAAGAGAAUACAAAUUUACCUUUAAUUAGGUUGAGAAACCUAAUUAACUUCGCCACCCAAAAAACACCCCAAGCAAUAAAGUCUUCAAGCUUUAAAUUGAACAGAGAUGACGAGGGAUACCUACGAACAACAAAUUGUAAUCCUCUCAAUUUAUUCUUUUGAUACCUUCUUGCUACCAAGCUUCUCUCAUGUGUAAAAUAAGAUUCCCUCAUAGCCUUAUUUAUAGUAUACUCUUCCUAAUCCAUUCUUAUUAUGGAUUAGAAAUAAUUUAUUCUUCAAAUCAAAUUAGGGAUCACAUCUCCUUAUCUUAGUCUUCAACCAAUCUAACAAGUAAAUCCUUUUUUAACUUGAAUUCCUUUCAUGGGUGAGGACACACCCAACCUAGCGAACGUAGUACACAUUGGUUAACCGUUCAUGCACUUAAAGUUAAUGCAAAUAGUUGGUCAUUUAUUGAUGUUUGUAGCGGAUACAGGAAAAAAUAAAUACGCAACUAAGACUUUUGUGAAUUUUCAGUUAACCAAAAAUUGAAGUAGGUCUCAUUGUAGAUGUUCAAGUUCCAUUUGGUGGUUUUUGAAAUUAGAAUUGAUGGGAUGCCAUUGUUAUAGCAUGUUCGACAAUAACUUAAAAGUUAGUAAGUAGUUUUUGGCUGUUGAUGUGUUUGGGAGUAAUUUAUUUUUUGACUUACUAGUUGGUAGUCCGUGCAAUGCACAGGCUAGUUUGAAUAACAGAUUGUAUAAUUUAUUAAAAUUAAAAUGAGAAAAUUAUUUUUUUUAUAAAAAUUUAUUUUCAUAUAAACUGUUCAAUACAUUUUUUACAUGACAUGAGAAGAAAACUUGCUAAUAAACAGUAAAAGCUUUUUCUGAUUGGUUUUUAUUCUUGGUAAGAAGGAGUAGCGCCUGUUAGAAAGUCAUUCUUCAACAACAUUCAGUUGCUCAGACUGGAUCUGAGACAAAUUGAUAUCUUCCUUCACAAAAAAGCUAGCUGGAUUAGUGCCUUAAACACUGUCGACUGCAAGCCUCAUUGAUCCUUUGAACAUGUCAAUUUUUGCAUUACACGGGAUCACAGUAACACCCUCUUUCAUCAAGUCCACUGAACAUAAGACAUCUUUCAGUGUACAACUAAAGAUGAGAAACUCAAUUUUGUGCAAAUGCGAGAGGUUAAAAUUUAAAAUUAUUCUUGCCUAUGAAAUGAGCAGCAGUUGUAAGCACAAUUCCAAGCCAGUAAAAUUUUACCCUUUUCAAAAAAAAUAACUUAGUAUAUUAAAUUGGCUCUUAAGAACUAUAAAGAAAUAAAAAUUUCAAGAAUCUAGCUAUCUGAAAAUUGUAAAUGGUAAUCUUCUCAUUCCUCGAAAAUCACUGUCAACCUUCUAGUUAUAUCUAUAACACGAAUUCAUUACAAAACAUUUGUCAUAUCAUCCACAUAUACCUCAUAUUUUGAGUCUUUAUUCAGCAUAUCAAUAGUUGUAAAGAAAAUGAACAAAUGAGGAGUCCACAUUAAACAUCAAAAAUCAAUUGGUCAUGUUUAUGCAAACUGAAAUUCUCAAUUUGGGAUCAAGUGGCUAUCAGUUGAGAUCUCUCCUAACAAAGUAGACCAAACUUAGAAUAAUUAACACAUAACAUUAUAAGGAAAUCAAAGUAAAGGCUAAAUGACAAUGUUUUUGAGUAACUUCAACAAUAAACCAUACCCUGAUCGUUUUUUGCUUUGAAUAUAAUCAUUCCAGUCUCGUCAACUACCAAGCAUUUAGCAAGACGCAUUUAGUGUCCUUAACCUCCCUGCAUUAUCAUCUUUGACUAAAAACCUUUAGAGUUAGGUUAUAUUAGUAUACAUUCUAGGCAUUAUGAAAUAUUAAUGUAUAUUUCUUUUUGGCAUUUAAUCAAACAUGUAAUGUACACAUUUUACAGAUAAAGAUCAACAUACACAAAUUUCUGUAUCAAUAGAAUCUCAUAGCAAGCAUAUGCACAACAAUAUAUAAGCAUACAUAAUAACAUAUAUACAAUUAAAAGAGGCAUAAGAGCAAACAACUUUAUUAAAUCAUCAGCCUUUUUGAGAAAUUGAUUAAACAGCCAUACCACAAAAUACAUGUAAAACAAUUACUAAACAAAUAGAAAAAGUGAUGAAAAACAGAUAACCAAAAAGAAUGUCAAUAUCCUCACCUGAGAACUUUAGCAGCAUAAAUUAUCCAUUAACUUCAACUGCACUUACUCUAUAAUUCAACAUCUACUAAUUUUACCAAAAUUUUGAAUUUUUAUAACCUUUUUAGCAACAGUCAAAUUCUGAUCAUGACCAAUUAAAAAACAUAAAACAGACCCAUCACCCAAAAAUCUAUUUUAUUCCAGGAAAAUAAAUAAAGCAAAUCGGUUGAUGCAAUCUGAUUAUAUCAGAACUGGAAUUGAGUAGGAAUUUAAAUUGAAUAAUUUAUAAGUUUCAUCAAUGCAACACCUUGCCUCCCAAUGUUUCUCAAUUUUUUUCCACCCCGACUACUCCAACUCAACUCCGCACAACAGUUGUUGUUACUGUUAAUCUAAAUACAUAAUUAUUAUUUAUUUUGUCUCUAAACCUUAAAAAAUUAAAAAUAAAAUUUCUUCUUCCAAAGAAUAUCAAACUCUUUUUCCCCCAAAUCAUUAAAUAAUCUCACAUAAACAACAUCAAUGCCCAUGUCCAUCAAGUCAUUAAAUCAUCUCACAUGAACAACAUUAAAACACUUAAGUGUGUACCUGGCGAAUUCAAAAUCAAAACCCUUGGACAACUCUAUUCUCCGCAAUCAAUAUGUGAGGCUGCUAAAAAUUUGUGAAUUUCAAUAGGCACUGUAGUUCUGCUCACAAAGUACCUUCUCAUCAAAUCUAUAAAAAAUUCAACAAAUACUAAUCAAUAUAUAUAAAUAUACAUGUUUAAUUUAAUACUAUAUUAUUUUAAAUUUAGAUAUUAAAUCCAUUAAUACAAUAUUAUUUAUAAAUUUAAGUAGUAAUAAUACUUUUCAUUUUAUUUUUUCUCAAAAAUCAAACAGAAAACAUAACAAACUUGAUUUCACGAUGCAAACCAGUUCAGUUCAACCUCUAUUUAUCUCAUGUUUUCCCCUAGGUAGCAUAUUCUCUAUGCAUUGAGAAAACAGACAAAGCAUAAUUAUUCAAGAAUUAAUGAUUAAUGAUUGGAAAAUAAUUCCAUAAUUAUGCCUCAACAAUUAACGAAAAUUAAAUCUAAAAUUGAAAUAAAUUAUUCAAGAAUUUCACGCAAGAUGAAUUGAAACAAUAUAGUCAUUAAUUUUUGAACAAAUCCAUGAACAAAAAAACCCAAAUCACAUACCUAAUUUUCAAGAAGAAAAAACCCCAAUCAUAUACCUAAUUCAUUUUUGUACAAAUUCAUAAUGAAACCAUCCCAAAUCAGAGAUCCAAUUCAUUUAUGAACAAACCCUUAAAGCAGAAUUCACAAAUAUAUAGACACAAGAAAUUAAAGAAGAAAAAGAAUAUGAAGACACACAAAAGUUGCAUAAGGCUUACAGCCGAUAAGAAUUCGGUUUAGCGAAGUUGAGGAGGUGGAUAAAGGGAUCAACGACGACACAUGAAGUUUUCUUGCUGUGAGUUGGUGGAUUAAAUAGAGUGAUUGUCAUGAGGGGGAGAAGAGAUUUGAGAGAAUUGAAGGGAGGAUAAGAGAUUUAAGAGAACUGAAGGGAGGAGAAACUAGAGGGUCUGAAGAGUUAAACGAAAACGAUGAUACGUAUACGGAAGAGUAAGAGCUCAG